rnacentral:rRNA from 1 species
AUACGUAGGGGGCGAGCGUUGUCCGGAAUGAUUGGGCGUAAAGGGCGCGUAGGCGGCGCGGUAAGUCUGGAGUGAAAGUCCUGCUUUCAAGGUGGGAAUUGCUUUGGAUACUGCCGCGCUUGAGUGCAGGAGAGGUUAUCGGAAUUCCCGGUGUAGCGGUGAAAUGCGUAGAGAUCGGGAGGACCACCAGUGGCGAAGGCGGGUAACUGGACUGCAACUGACGCUGAGGCGCGAAAGUGUGGGGAGCAAACAGGAUUAGAUACCCUGGUAGUCCACACUGUAAACGAUGAAUGCUAGGUGUAAGAGGUAUCGACCCCUUUUGUGCCGGAGUCAACACAAUAAGCAUUCCGCCUGGGGAGUACGGCCGCAAGGUUGAAACUCAAAGGAAUUGACGGGG